rnacentral:rRNA from 1 species
UACGGGGGGGGCAAGUGUUGUUCGGAAUUACUGGGCGUAAAGGGCUCGUAGGCGGCCAACUAAGUCCGACGUGAAAUCCCCAGGCUUAACCUGGGAACUGCGUCGGAUACUGGAUGGCUUGAAUCCGGGAGAGGGAUGCGGAAUUCCAGGUGUAGCGGUGAAAUGCGCAGAUAUCAGGAGGAACACCGGUGGCGAAGGCGGGAUCUC